rnacentral:rRNA from 1 species
GACGAACGCUGGCGGCGUGCUUAACACAUGCAAGUCGAACGGGAAAGCGCCUUUCUUUUUGGGUGGUGGGGUGGAGUGGGGGACAGGUGCGUAAGACUUGAGUGACCUUGCCCCUUCGUUUGGUUAACCGCACUGAAGUGUUGCCAAUAUGGGAUAUUCUGGUUCUUUGUCAUGAUUGGUCAGGGAAAGAGGUUGGUUCGGGGGGGGCUGGGCUUGCGGCCUAUUAGGUUGUUGGUGGUGUGAUGGCCUUCCAAGGGGGUGACGGGUAGGCGGCAUGGGAGGGUGGACGGUCCCACUGGGUCUGAGACACGGCCGAGACUCCUACGGGAGGCAGCAGUGGGGAAUAUUGCACAAUGGGCGCAAGCCUGAUGCAGCGACGCCGCGUGAGGGAUGGAGGCCUGCGGGUUGUGAACCUCUUUCGCCAGUGAAGCAGGCCUGCCUCGUGUGUGGGUGGGUUGACGGUAGCUGGAGAAGAAGCGCCGGCUAACUACGUG